AGCUGGCUUCUCCAUUGGCCCAAGGGUGUGUGUGUGUGUGUGUGUGUGACGUCACGGCGUCCGACGCCUAUAUAAGAGGUGAAGAAGAGGCUUUGGACAUCAGUUCCUCGAAGGUUCUCGUCCGAAGAGCAUCAUCAUCAUCAUGAAGGUUAUGGUAGUCUUGUGCGCUGUGGUGGCUGCAGUCUCAGCCAUGCCCUCCGUAGGCCUGGUAGGUCCCUCUGGAGUGAUAGGGCCAUCUGGCAUCGUAGGACCCUCCGGCCCUGUCCAGUUCAGCCAGCCAGCCUGGGCAUUCUUGGGACACCACGCCCACGCCCACGUCGCCGCCCUCAACAGAAACCGACACCCACCCACCGUCCCAGUCCACCACCACAACCCAGCUGUUUUCCAGGCUGCCCCCGUAGUCCCAACCACCUACGGCGUGGACGCCGCCGGUUGCGUCGUAGGACCCUCUGGCAAAGUCUGCCCAACUGGCAACAUCCAGUUCACUUAAAAUGGACGACGUCUCCACUCGAUAAUAAUUAAAAAUCUAUUCUAGUUUCAUAGUUUUCUCCCCAAGAUGAUGAAACGAAAACAAAAAAUUAUGUCCAUCUUUUUCCUUGGUUUAUAACGACGUCCACGGGAUGGUUCUCAGCAGCAUUACAGAGAAUAUACGUCAAUAUUCGAGAUGCUUAAGACGAUAAAUGUAUAUCAAACAUAAUCAAACGUUUAAAAUCGAUAAUACUCGUGGAAUCUGAAGACGAAAAUUUUGUUUAUUAAUGUACGUAAAUGUAAUUUAAAUCUGUAUUAUUCGUGAUACUGAAAACGAAAGUUGUAUUUUAAACACACGCAAAUAUUCAAAUCGAUAAUAUUCGACAUCUUGAAGAGAUAUGACAGCAGAAAUUGUAUAAAUAUACUUCCAAACUCUUCCUGAAAAUCAACUCGAACUGGGACAGUGAUACCUUCUUGCCAAAACCAACCCUUUAUGGAAUUUUAGGACUUCUUAACUGACAUCAAGGAUAUAACCCAGGGGGGAAUGUUAUGCCUAACAUUAACGAGGUUCUGAGACAACGAGACAUUCAAACAUCCCCCUCUUGGUUUUGCCUGCGAGAAGUCCCGAUAGCCAAAAUUAAGGGUCCUAAUUUGAUUACAUCAAAAGGAUGAAUUCAUAUGAUGAUGGAUGUAUCAUACAGCUGAGUGCCUAUAUGUACAUGUGAUAGUAUUUUGUAAUAAAAAAAUAUAUGAAGCAUUA